rnacentral:rRNA from 1 species
AUUGAACGCUGGCGGCAUGCCUUACACAUGCAAGUCGAACGGUAACAGGUUAAGCUGACGAGUGGCGAACGGGUGAGUAAUAUAUCGGAACGUGCCCAGUCGUGGGGGAUAACGUAGCGAAAGCUACGCUAAUACCGCAUACGAUCUACGGAUGAAAGCGGGGGAUCGCAAGACCUCGCGCGAUUGGAGCGGCCGAUAUCAGAUUAGGUUGUUGGUGAGGUAAAAGCUCACCAAGCCUGAGAUCUGUAGCUGGUGUGAGAGGACGACCAGCCACACUGGAACUUAGACACGGUCCAGACGCCUACGGGAGGCAGCAGUGGGGAAUUUUGGACAAUGGACGCAAGUCUGAUCCAGCAAUGCCGCGUGCAGGACGAAGGCCUUCGGGUUGUAAACUGCUUUUGUACGGAACGAAACGGUGAGCUCUAAUACAGUUUGCUAAUGACGGUACCGUAAGAAUAAGCACCGGCUAACUACGUGCCAGCCGCCGCCGUAA